GACGGAGGAUGCAAGUGUUAUCCGGAAUCACUGGGCGUAAAUCGUCUGUAGGUGGUUUAAUAAGUCAACUGUUAAAUCUUGAGGCUCAACCUCAAAAUCGCAGUCGAAACUAUUAGACUAGAGUAUAGUAGGGGUAAAGGGAAUUUCCAGUGGAGCGGUGAAAUGCGUAGAGAUUGGAAAGAACACCGAUGGCGAAGGCACUUUACUGGGCUAUUACUAACACUCAGAGACGAAAGCUAGGGUAGCAAAUGGG
rnacentral:rRNA from 1 species